UACAUAAACAAAUACAUGGGCGCAGACAUUUUGGACACCCGAAGUUGUGCGGAGGAGAAAAUGCUAGCUGGCGCGUGAUUGGUCAAUAAGAGAAAAGACUGGUUAUGUAUUUGACAAGUGAAAUAAAGUUGAUAAAAAUCUCAUAUCAAGACUUGGGUUUCUUUGAGGUAUAUAGGAGUUACAGGUAAAAAUUUGAAGGGAGGGAUGCACUUUGGUUAGAGAUUUUCAUUUGGUGUCAAACGCACCUAGUUGUAAACAAAUGGAAAUUGAAAGUAAAAGUGCAACGGCACGGUAUAUUUUUUUCUGGCAUUUUUUGUUUUCCAAUAUCUCGAACUUUCACGACAAAAAGGUCAUUUGCCCGAAAUUCAAUAUAUGUAUCAGUGAGAGGGGCUAAAGUUUGUAUGGAAGUCUAUGGGAAAACAUUUGGUGGUGUUUGUCCUAUAGAAAAGCGAUGCAUUCUCAAGAAGGAAGAGAUUAAUGAACCCUACCCUCUUACAAUGAACAACACAUGGAUACUCUCGGGAUGAUCCCUUUGCUUUCAUUAAGAGUUCCAAGAUGUGGGUCUGAUUGACUGGGGUGUGAAAUGUAACAGCCAAUGGUGUACUUAAGGAAAAACCCCUACAUAACAAAUACAUGGGCG